ensembl:lncRNA
CUAUUAGAAAAAUGAAGACAGACUAGGAGAAAAUAUUUACAAAAUACACCAAAAAACUGUAUCCAAAAUAUAUAGUUCCAUAUCUCAUUAAUGAAAAGAGCCAAUUUUUAAAUAUACAAAACUUUCAUUCUAAGAAUACAGUAAUGGCUAACUGAACACAUGAGAGCGCAUACUCAUUAGAGAAAUGUAGAUUAACACAAGAUACUACUACACACUCAGAAGCCACAAUGCUUGUAUGAGGAAAUGUUCAUAGCAGCUUUAUUAAUAUUUUCUCACAAUGGAGAACCAACAAAAUGUUCAUUUAACAGAAUAGCUAAACAAAUUGUAGUACAUUCAUACAGUGGAAUACUACUCGGCAAUAAGAAAUACAUGGGUUCAACCUCUCAAAACGUUGUACUUAUGAAAGCAUUAAGUGAUUCAAUUUAGUUUCAGAGCUGGGAUGGGGAAGGAAACCCUACUCUUUAGUGAAAAAAAUCUGGAUGGUAGUUAAACUACCUAGAGUAACGCUUCAUUGCUUAGGUAGUGGUAUAAGGGAACUUUCUUUGGUCCUGAUGUGGCUGUGGGCCAAGAGUGUACAUUCUUAAAACUUGUAAAAGAUUUGUAUAUAUCAACUUUUUGUAAAUCUGACCUAAUGAGGUGUGUGUAGCAGAUAGUUCAGUGUACCAGAGCAGAACUGAGGACUCUGAAGCUAGAGUGUGAUGGUUCAAGGAGAAAUUUGAGUAUACAUCCAAUUUAGAUGUUUAAUUAUAAAUAUCAACCUAUUUGGGGGGCUUCUAACUCACGUGUGUUGUCAGUUGCUCAGUUGUGUCUGACUCUUUGUGACCCCAUGGACUGUAGCCCGCCCGGCUCCUCUGUCCAUGGGACCCUCCAGGCGAAAAAUAUUGGAGUAGGCUGCCAUGUCCUACUUCAACAGCAUAUGGGACAUCUCUUGACACUGCCAAAAGUUUUCUUCCAAUCUGAGUUACAUCACAAACCUCUCUGACUCUGCCUCAAUUUCAUCCUAGGUUUCUGGUUUGGGCACUCAGGAAAAUGCUGGAUUACAAGUAGUUUGAAGAUGGUUCACUGGGAAGUGGUGUUAUCUGGCUAAGACGAUACAAGUCUUUUCUCUUUCAUAGUGUGUCACAUUUACCACAUUCAGAUUAUGUCCCUGAAUCUCAUCAGUUAACACCAGGUGUUUGCCGAACAAGCCACCUGUCCCUAUAAAAAAAUCUGGCACUGUAGGACUGCACACACCUUUAGCAUCUUGCUUUUCUAAGAUCAACCUUUUCUUUUUAGAGCUGGGCUCUGUGGCACUCAGGAAUCUUGGUUCACUGACUAGAGAGCUAACCUGUGCCCUCUGCACUGGG